AGUGAACGCUGGCGGUAGGCCUAACACAUGCAAGUCGAACGGCAGCACAGUAAGAGCUUGCUCUUACGGGUGGCGAGUGGCGGACGGGUGAGGAAUACAUCGGAAUCUACUUUUUCGUGGGGGAUAACGUAGGGAAACUUACGCUAAUACCGCAUACGACCUACGGGUGAAAGCAGGGGAUCUUCGGACCUUGCGCGAUUGAAUGAGCCGAUGUCGGAUUAGCUAGUUGGCGGGGUAAAGGCCCACCAAGGCGACGAUCCGUAGCUGGUCUGAGAGGAUGAUCCGCCACCAUGGAACUGAGACACGGUCCAGACCCCUACGGGAGGCAGCAGCGGGGAAUAUUGGACAAUGGGCGCAAGCCUGAUCCAGCCAUACCGCGUGGGUGAAGAAGGCCUUCGGGUUGUAAAGCCCUUUUGUUGGGAAAGAAAAGCAGCAGGUUAAUACCCCGCUGUUCUGACGGUACCCAAAGAAUAAGCACCGGCUAACUUCGUG
rnacentral:rRNA from 1 species